rnacentral:rRNA from 1 species
UCCUGGUGACAAAAGCGGAGAGGCCACACCUGUUCCCAUCUCGAACACAGCAGUUAAGCUCUCCAGCGGCGAUGGUACUGCCACAUCUCGUGGUGGGAGAGUAGCUCGUCGCCGG